rnacentral:misc_RNA from 1 species
UACGGAGGGGGUUAGCGUUGUUCGGAAUUACUGGGCGUAAAGCGCACGUAGGCGGAUCAGAAAGUUGGGGGUGAAAUCCCGGGGCUCAACCCCGGAACUGCCUCCAAAACUAUUGGUCUAGAGUUCGAGAGAGGUGAGUGGAAUUCCGAGUGUAGAGGUGAAAUUCGUAGAUAUUCGGAGGAACACCAGUGGCGAAGGCGGCUCACUGGCUCGAUACUGACGCUGAGGUGCGAAAGCGUGGGUAGCAAACAGG